GACGAACGCUGGCGGCGUGCUUAACACAUGCAAGUCGAACGGAAAGGCCCUGCUUUUGUGGGGUGCUCGAGUGGCGAACGGGUGAGUAACACGUGAGUAACCUGCCCUUGACUUUGGGAUAACUUCAGGAAACUGGGGCUAAUACCGGAUAGGAGCUCCUGCUGCAUGGUGGGGGUUGGAAAGUUUUGGCGGUUGGGGAUGGACUGGCGGCUUAUCAGCUUGUUGGUGGGGUAGUGGCUUACCAAGGCUUUGACGGGUAGCCGGCCUGAGAGGGUGACCGGCCACAAUGGGACUGAGAUACGGCCCAGACUCCUACGGGGGGCAGCAGUGGGGAAUAUUGCACAAUGGGCGGAAGCCUGAUGCAGCAACGCCGCGUGCGGGAUGACGGCCUUCGGGUUGUAAACCGCUUUCGCCUGUGACGAAGCGUGAGUGACGGUAAUGGGUAAAGAAGCACCGGCUAACUACGUG
rnacentral:rRNA from 1 species